CGCAACUUGCGCCCUUUGGUAUUCCGAAGGGCAUGCCUGUUUGAGUGUCAUAUAAACCUCACCUCUACUGUUUUUCAUUAGACAUGUGGACUGGUGCUUUGGGCGUCUGCCGUUUACUCUGGCUCGCCUUAAAUGUCUAAGUGGAAUGCGUAAUAAGUCUUCGCAACCCUCCACUCUAAUACAAACUUUUAUAUUCUGACCUCAAAUCAGGUAGGACUACCCGCUGAACUUAA
rnacentral:misc_RNA from 1 species